rnacentral:sRNA from 14 species
ACCAGUCUUCAGUCAAGGAUUUACGAGUAGCUAUGCUCCCCUGCUAGAACCUCCAAACAAGCUCUCAAGGUCCAUUGUAGGAUCGUAGGGUUGUAAAGC